GACGAACGCUGGCGGCGUGCUUAACACAUGCAAGUCGAACGGAAAGGCCCUGCUUGCGGGGUGCUCGAGUGGCGAACGGGUGAGUAACACGUGGGUGAUCUGCCCUGCACUUCGUGAUAUGCCUGGGAAACUCGGUCUAUUACCCGAGAGGAACCAUCGUUAUCGUGGGGGUUGGAGAGUUUUUUCGGUGUAGGGUGAGCGCGCGGCCUAUCAGCUUGUUGGUGGGGUAAUGGCCUACCAGGGCGGCGAGGGGUAGCCGGCCUGAGAGGGUGUACGGACAGAUUGGGGGUGAGAUACGGCACAGGCUCCUACGGGGGGCAGCAGUGGGGAAUGUUGGACAGUGGGCGGAAGCCUGAUGCAGCGAGGCCGCGUGGGGGAUGAAGGCCUUCGGGUUGUAAACUCCUUUCGCUAGGGACGAAGCUUUGUUGUGACGGUACCUAGAUAAGAAGCACCGGCUAACUACGUG
rnacentral:rRNA from 1 species